ACAACGCGGUUCACCUUUCACGGGUUCGCUGUUUCACAAAAAAAUAAAAAUGUAUGCAGAUUUUUUUUUUAGGCUUUUUUUUUUUUAAACCGUGCAUUGUGUUUUGCAACCUGAUUGGCUAAGAGAUGUAGACCAAUGUCAACCUUUUUUGACUAAAGAUCUGCUUAACAAGCAGCAAACCUCCCGUGAUCAACCUGUUAGCGCACUGUUCCCGGGCCAGCCAACAGUCGGUGUAAAUCCCUCCAGCAUUUUUGAGGUCAUUCACAGGGCCCCGUCCCAGCGGGACAUGCCUGGAACGCCUUGCCAGGGAGGCGUCCAGGAUAAGAUA